rnacentral:tRNA from 1 species
AAGAGGUGUUUUGAACACUAAGAACUGCUAAUUCUUUUUACUGAAGUUAGACCCUACAGGCCUCUUA